AAUACAAUUCCCUCCCUUAUGCUUCAUAGUUACCAUACCGAAAUAUGCCUACUUAUCAAAUUAAGUGUCCCGUGUAUCCAGGCGCCGGAUAUGCGGGAGAGUGGAGGCAGUAAUAAGGUUGAGGAGCUUGAGUGUGCCUGGCGUAACGAUGGAAUUGGAGGCAGCCGUGUUCUGGAUGCCGGGGAUAUAGGCAGUGUCCUGUGGGCCCAUUCUCUCUCUCUCUCUGAUAGACGCGGUUUGACGGCUGGAUGCAGCGGAUCGCAUUGUCUUCUCUGCAUCCCUGUUGAUUAAUGGAACUGCCUGUCAAUAAAUAUAGUUUAUUGUAAUGAACGUUACCCGACGGUGUCUGUCUCCCUAUGUUCAACGCCUUUGAGCCAAGGCGUUGCCAAAUGCGGGUGUACUUUGUGCAA
ensembl:lncRNA